rnacentral:rRNA from 1 species
CCUACGGGGUGCAGCAGUCGAGAAUUAUUCACAAUGGGGGAAACCCUGAUGGUGCGACGCCGCGUGGGGGAAUGAAGGUCUUCGGAUUGUAAACCCCUGUCAUGUGGGAGCAAAUUAAAAAGAUAGUACCACAAGAGGAAGAGACGGCUAACUCUGUGCCAGCAGCCGCGGUAAUCCAGAGGUAUCAAGCGUUGUUCGGAAUCACUGGGCGUAAAGCGUGCGUAGGCUGUUUCGUAAGUCGUGUGUGAAAGGCGCGGGCUCAACCCGCGGACGGCACAUGAUACUGCGAGACUAGAGUAAUGGAGGGGGAACCGGAAUUCUCGGUGUAGCAGGGAAAUGCGUAGAUAGCGAGGGGAACACUCGUGGCGAAGGCGGGUUCCUGGACAUUAACUGACGCUGAGGCACGAAGGCCAUGGGAGCGAAAGGGAUUAGAUACCCCUGUAGUC